rnacentral:sRNA from 1 species
UGCAACAACUUGUGAACCAGUCCCGCAU